rnacentral:rRNA from 1 species
GACGAACGCUGGCGGCGUGCUUAACACAUGCAAGUCGAACGAAGAGCGACGGAAGCUUGCUUCUCUCAAUCUUAGUGGCGAACGGGUGAGUAACGCGUAAUCAACCUGCCCUUCAGAGGGGGACAACAGUUGGAAACGACUGCUAAUACCGCAUACGAUCUAACCUCGGCAUCGAGGAUAGAUGAAAGGUGGCCUCUACAUGUAAGCUAUCACUGAAGGAGGGGAUUGCGUCUGAUUAGCUAGUUGGAGGGGUAACGGCCCACCAAGGCGAUGAUCAGUAGCCGGUCUGAGAGGAUGAACGGCCACAUUGGGACUGAGACACGGCCCAGACUCCUACGGGAGGCAGCAGUGGGGAAUCUUCCGCAAUGGACGAAAGUCUGACGGAGCAACGCCGCGUGAGUGAUGACGGCCUUCGGGUUGUAAAGCUCUGUUAAUCGGGACGAAAGGCCUUCUUGCGAAUAGUGAGAAGGAUUGACGGUACCGGAAUAGAAAGCCACGGCUAACUACGG